ACCUUUGUGUGUGUUCUGGUCGUACAAAACACAGGAGCCAAGAAGGGCUCUUAAGCUCAAACCCUAUCAAGCUUAAAAUCAACAAAUUGAAGGGGUAAAUCCAACCCAAAUCGAAAUCCAAGCACGAAUUCGUGACCACCUCGAUGAAGGGAUCAUAAGUUUGACUCUUGACAAGCUAGAAGGAGACUUGGGCAAGGAACGGGUCAAACGGUUCGUGCAUGGGAAAAAGAGCAUAACCGGAUGCAAGGUAAGCGACGCUUAAAUCCUUUUUGUAGAAUAUGCAUUAUUUUGUAAAUUACUAAUGCGACUAGUGUAAUAUCCGAAUUAAGGGUUCCGGCGCUAUUAACAUGAGUCGGAAUAAACAAAAAUGAUAAAAACCAUGUAUUAUGGUAAAAAGAGGCGAAACGGUAAUCUAGUCAUGUAAUGACUAAUAACUAAGAAGUUUUCGUUAAGAUUAUUUUAAAUGCAACUAAUAACGAGAAAAUGAGUAAAAAUGGAAAUUUAGUCAAGUAUUGGCUAAAGUAAACUAGAGUUAAAAAGUGGCACCCGUGGCGUAAGCCGAAUGGGUGAAAACAUAAGAAAGGAGUUUAAGAGAAAAAAAAAAGGGUAUAGUAGCAAAAAUCCGAAAUGGGUCGGAUGAACAAAUUGGCAAUUAAUAACCAUGUUUUGCUACUUAUGAAAAUGCCUAGUCUUAUAGGCCAAACGGGUCGAAUGGUGUGAUAACACCAUUUGACAAUAUCGACUAAUAUGGUUGUCAAGUCUUAUGCUAACAGGACCGAUUAGCAAAUCGGAUAAUUUCGUCACUAUUGAUUGUGUGAUAAUGAAAACAAGGUAUAAAUCGGGUCUACUUGUUGAUCCGGGCCAGGUACGCAUAUUCAUGUUGUAGUUUAAAAUGCUAUUUUGGUCGAAUAAAUGGGAAAGAGAGUCUUUCGUAGUAAAAAAGAACAAAAUCGAUCAAAACGCCCUUGUUGGCUAAUUCGAACAAACAACCUUUAAAAGUUGUUUGGACACGAGUUCUAUGAUUAGGUAAAUACUUAGAAUAAGUAUAGAAGCUGAAAGAGGUAUUAUUUUUUAGUCAAAUGGCACUAUUAGAGUUUUGCCGUAAAAUAUGGAUUCUAGAAGUAAAAUUUGGGUUAUAUAAGAUCACCACAAGAAACUCACCUUAAUGCAGUCGAGGUGGGAUAUUAUAGGGUAAGAAAUGUGGUGAUGGAAUACUAGAAGCAAUCGAAAGCGUUUUAGGCUCGAAAGUGCUUAAAUACCCUUAACGGGUCAAAAUAAACAUUUGAGUAAAAACGGGUUCAAGAAUGUAUGUAAACCGGGAUUUUGAACCUCUUAUGAUAAAUAACAAUGAAUUUAUGGAAUUUAUAAGAAAUCGGAGUCAAAUAAAUAUGAUUGUUUGACAAAUACAAGAAUGGGUCAAAAUUGGGUAAAAGGGCGAUAAGCCGAAGAUUUAAAAGUCGGAAUUUUUGUUAAACCGGAUGUUGGAUUUUAACCUCUUAAGGUGAGGAAUCAAAUUACAAUCUCGUAGGAAGAAACGGUAGGUCAAACGGACAAGCGGUUUGAAAGAUACGAAAGUUUUCGUGUCAGAAAGCGGCAAAAUGGAAAGGAUGGAUGCAGGGGCCACCGUAACUUACGGUGCCACCGUAAGUUACGGUGGAGCCAAAUAUGCUACGGUAGGAUACCCCUGAUUUACGGUAGGGGAAAUGAACAUUCAGGGGCCACCGUAACUUACGGUGCCACCGUAAGUUACGGUGGAGGCCAGAAAUCAAUUGUUGUUUGUGGAUCAAGAUUUAAAUGUUGGAUUUUCUUGAUUUCCUUGUUAUAUUGGUUAUUUAACUAUCAAACUGACAUUUAAGUUAGUUUUGAUCACAGGUGAAUGUCGAGAGUCCUGGAUGAAGAUCAAGCAUCGAGCAAGAACCGAACACACGUUAAACAAAGCUUCCGCAACGUUGUUUUGUCGUUAUUCUAAACGGCAAAUUAAAUCACAUUAUGUAUAUCACUUAAAUUGUAAAAGUUUUGACAAACCCGUAUUUCCGAUGUAUAUGUAAUCAUUAAUUACACUAUCAUUUACGCAAAA